UGUCCCUCUUCAAUGAAGCUAUGGGGGGCCCUUUUCACCCUCAGCCAGGGCUGAAGGCCAAGAUCAGACCUGGGAGGGUCAUUGUUGGGGCGGCCACAAGCUUGUUAGUCUCAUUUUUUGACCUUGGACAUGU
rfam:Erinaceus europaeus unplaced genomic scaffold scaffold00101, whole genome shotgun sequence